UGGGGAAUUUUGGACAAUGGACGCAAGUCUGAUCCAGCCAUGCCGCGUGCGGGAAGAAGGCCUUCGGGUUGUAAACCGCUUUUGUCAGGGAAGAAAAGUCUGGGGCUAAUACCCUCGGACGAUGACGGUACCUGAAGAAUAAGCACCGGCUAACUACGUGCCAGCAGCCGCGGUAAUACGUAGGGUGCAAGCGUUAAUCGGAAUUACUGGGCGUAAAGCGUGCGCAGGCGGUUCUAUAAGACAGAUGUGAAAUCCCCGGGCUCAACCUGGGAACUGCAUUUGUGACUGUAGAGCUGGAGUACGGCAGAGGGGGAUGGAAUUCCGCGUGUAGCAGUGAAAUGCGUAGAUAUGCGGAGGAACACCGAUGGCGAAGGCAAUCCCCUGGGCCUGUACUGACGCUCAUGCACGAAAGCGUGGGGAGCAAACAG
rnacentral:rRNA from 1 species